UCGGUCCCCUGGAGCCUCAUCCCCGGGCGGGGGUGACAGAGGGGACACGGGGCAGAAGUGUGUCCUCCCCCGGCAGGAGCCGCCUCACACCGCGGGAGCGCUGAGCCCCCGGCCCCGCCGCAGCGCUGGUGGCCCGGGCUGGUCCCCCUUGCCGGGAUCCCGUGGCUCUGUGUGCUGGUACAGCGACACGGCAGCAGAAACCCCCGUGUGCCUGACUGCUGAGGGCCAGGAGAAGCUGUUCCCUGCGCCGAGUGAGGCAAACCCAGCUUCGCUAAGCAGUAAUUUAGGAUAGAGCGAAUUAAAAAACAAAACCAAGCACCAAACCAGCUUUAUUUUGAAUUUUAGAAGAGGUUUUUUUGAAAGUGUUUUGAAAGUCUCAGAAGAGGAACAGUGACUUCUUAAUGAGUGACAUCAUGAUCAUGUUGUCCCUCUGUCUUUAGGGAAGUGCUGAGGACAUUGCAGAAUAAAAUGCACGAUUGUAAUGGUACGUGGUCGUGGCCAGCAGUCUCACAUCAGAAACUGGCUUUGAUGCUUUUGCAGACAAGCAUUCGCUGUUCUGCUGAAGACGUCACAGCGCAAUGGAAAAACCCAGACUUGCCUGGGAGGCUUUGCUGCUUAUUCACAUGUGGAGAGUUCCUUCAGUUACCUGAGACACAGAAGUGGAGUAAUGAGAACUCUGGAAGAAGCAAUGAUCCUGGCCCUGGGAAUACACAAUAGUGGAAGUGGAGCAGCCAGUGCACGUCCAGGGGGGAGCACACACAGUGUGCAAUUGCCUGAGGAGAGGAGACAUCUGGGCAGGCCAGUGCUGGGUAGGAAGAUGACUUGGAAAAGAGAAACAGAUGCUUUCUGAAAGCUGAUGGCAAAGUGAAAACAAAGCCUCUUGAGGCAGCCUGAGUUGUAAGGUUAGGUAGGCCUGUGGAGGUGGGAGUGCUGCUCCCCAGAAUGUGAGCACUCUCUUGACAGUCCUUUGCUCAGGCUGUGUCAGCAAAUGGGAUUUAGGUUUUUGCCUUGUAAGAGCAGAGUUGUGGGAAGUUUGGGCUCUCUGCUACUAGCAGGCACUGCCCUUCCCAAGGGAGGAAGGCUUUAGGAUCCGUCAGUGAGGGGCUGUGGGGAGAAAUCGUCUGAUCCCGCUGAUCCCACAGAUGAGACUCCUCUGCAGAUGUCUGGACUGCUGGGUGGUGUUUACAGGCCGGGGGGAAGGACCCUGAAAAAGUGGUGAUCACUGAUGCUGUGGCCUGAAAGCUCCAAGGUCUGAGCACAGUUACUACUGGUAUCACUUGAUAAGUUGCUGUUGGGACAUCAAGGAGUAACUCACAUGCAUUGUACUGGCUAGUGCAUGCCAAAAGAUCAGCAGAUUAGUGGCUCUGGCCAAGGAUAGCUGGGAGUUCAGCUUGGAAAGCAUUUUAGAAGCAGUUGGAAAAUAUGUUGACUGUUACAGUGUUGAUCCUGAUAAUUUUGUCUCUGGGAGAAGGGGUGGGUUUGGGAUUCAUGUCUUGUUUGCACUGGUGAGGUGUUAACUACACAGGUCUGCAUGGGCAAGGAGUGGAUUUUAUAAUGAAUAUGCAGUAAAAUGAUGAUUAUGUUAAAGAUGGAGUUUGAAUAAGGGUGAAACAAAUCUUAAUAUAUCUCUCAAUUAAAUGCAGGGUGGAAUGUAAAGAAUAUAAAUUGCAGUAUCAAGGGAUGGCAGUGGUGAGCUGUGUGGAGACCACUGAAACAAACACCCUGUCCCAUGCCAGAAUUUAAGCUCACAGUCCUGCUACUCAGGAAUACUUCUGGAGACACAGGUGCACUUUUUUGAAGGAGAUCCAUGCUGAAAGGACUUAAUUCCAAGGGGACUGCAGCUGGUGGAUGAGUUAUGUUUGAACAAGGAAACUUCUGAAGGCACAGUGGGCACUGGGGAACCCGUGCUGGAGAAAGUAUUCACUAAAAAGACAGUGCUCCAAAUUUGUGCAUCAUAGUAACAUUGUAC